GAAAAUUUGAACAAUAUCCAGUCAGCCAUGUAGAAGUUGGGCAUUAGUGAAAAAAAAACAAGGACAUGUUUUGUCUUUCAAAAUCGAUGUAAGCCUUUCUUUUGCGUGACCAAUUAAAGAACAACUAAACUUCAAAAUGAGAAACUUUCCACUUGUCUUAGGCCUCAUCAAGGAUGAACCUUGAUGAUAAUGAGAUAAUGGAAUGAGAAUAAAGCAGAAACAGUUGAAAUUUGUCUCUCUUCAUUUUACUUGCACUAAGUUUCACAAAUGCCCACAGAUGCAUGACUUCUGAAAUUUAAAAAUACAUGGUAUUUGUGAAAUUUGAGUCUACUGAGGCGGAACAUACUCAGAGAAAUGAAAAAAACUUUCCAGAUAAGUCCAGAUUAAUAUCUGGAGGGUAAAUAACUUAGUUCCCUCCAAAUUUCCCUUAACAUAAACUUUUUUUGCCUUCUUACUUCUCAUCUAUGCAAUUUCUUCACCUAAUACUUGUUUUAACACUCUGAUUUACCCAAGUUCACCCUGGGCCCUUAAAAUUACAAAGCAGUUUAGAAACAACUGGUCCCCAUUGAGUAAAAAAGAAUGUAUACACACCAUGUUGCAUAGUAGGAGAAAAAAAAAAAAGUACUGGGGAAAUUAAAAAAAGAAAAAAGAAAAGAAACGACUGGUCCCCUUAACUAGCCAUGCUUUUUUUUGUUGUUGUUGUCUUUUUAGGGCCGCACCUGGGGCAUAUGGAAGUUCCCAGGCUAGUGGUCUAAUUGGAGCUGCAGCCACCAGCCUACACCAGAGCCACAGCAACGCGGGAUCCGAGCCGCGUCUACGACCUACACCACAGUUCACGGCAAUGCCAGAUCCUUAACCCACUGAGCAAGGCCAGGGAUCGAACCCACAACCCCAUGGUUCCUGGUCGGAUUCGUUAACCACUGAGCCAUGACAAGAACUCCAAGCCAUGCAUUUUUAUUUGGCGAUAACUGUUGCAAAACAUUGGCACUCUGCAGAAAGGAACAACAUUUUUAAAACCUGAUCCCUCACUAAUGCUGCUAAAAUUAUAUAUCACAUUCGUAACAAAUACCAAAAUAAAAUAUAAAAUCUUAGCUUUGGUUUCUUUCAUUUUUUUAAUUUAAAAGGACAUUUUAAGAACAUUUUGCAUUAUUUAACUCAAAAGAAAUACACUGAAAAUUCUGAAUGCAUUUGACCACAGGUAGAAUACGAAAAGAUUAAGUAAAAAAGCUCAAAAUUUCCAUAUACACAUAUAACCCAAGAAAACCAAAAAGAAACAGAUAAGGAACACAGAAAAGCCAGGUGAGCAGACACUCCCUUGUUAUGACAAAGAAACAAAGGUUUUUCCCUUGGAUCAGUGGAUGAACUACCGACUUGGUCAAUUUCAGCCCGAAAAGAUUCUUCAGACUCCUGUAAAAUAAAGUUGCUGUUUACAUUGUAGGGACAGAGAGAAGGGCAGGAAAAGCUAGUGAUUUGCUCCCCACAGUGCCCGGUCUCUGCAUAGACUUUCCAUCACUUAAUUCACCUUUCAAGUGCCUUCAGGUUCCCUACCUUAAACAGUCCUAUCCUGAGAUGAAAUUCCCCAAAGCAGAUCGAAAGCAGUCAUCCAAGACCCCAGCGUCCACAAAGACACCUGUUCCUCUGAAUUACCCAUCUCAGUAAAGAUCACUCAGGGCCACCUCAUUGCUCAAGCCAGAAACGUGGAGUUUGUCCUGGAUUCUAGCCACCCUCACUCCCCACGUUCAACCCACCGCCAGCCCUGCCUUCUCCAAUCAGUAUAAGGCCUGCCAAUUUCCAGUCCAAGUCAUCAGCAUCUCUAACCAGCCAACUACCUACCACAGUUCCCUAAUUUUUUUAACCGAUGGCUGGUCCAUUCUCCAGGGUGAUAAAUUUCAAAUCUGGCCAGGCUAUUUCUCAGCAUAAAAAUCUUUUCCUCGGAGUUCCCAUUGUAGUGCAGCAGAAAUGAAUCAGACUAGUAACCAUGAGCCACAAUGGGAACUCCCCUGAAUAUCUGUUAUUAAAUAGCACUUUUUACAUUCUUUCAGCUAGAGAGAAAAUGUUGAUUCAUUUGAAUGCCUUUUGAAUAGAGCUUAAAUGUACAAAUAUACAAUGUUACUAAAUGUAAAAUGGUAUUGAUAGCAAUACCUUCCCGACCAGGCCUUGGGCACCCUGGGUCAUUGUGUUUGGAAGAGGACAUACUUGUGCAUAUGCAGUAAAUAGCCUUGUCCUAAAAACCAAGAGAGCCAGGUGCUCAUUCAGCCGCCCCAGCCUCCAAUUCAUCAAUGAACUUUCUGAGUCUUGUCCUCAAACGUCAAAUGAAGAGGGAGAACAUGGAUAAACAACAAGAUCCUACCAUACAGCACAGGGCCCUACAUUCAAAAUCCUGUGAUAAACCCUCAUGGAAAAGAAUAUUUAAAAAAAGAUAUAUAUAUAUAUAUAUGCAUAACUGAAUCACUUUGCUGUAGAGCAAAUAUCAACACAUUGUAAAUUAACUAUAUUUCAAUAAAUUUAAAAUGUGUUUGAAAAGAGGGAGAAUAUGUACUUAUCACCAUACUGGUUGGGUGGGAGAAUCAAGAGAAAAAGCACAGAUUUUUGAAUAAAUGUAUUAACCUUGUGUAGUGCCAUGAGAGGUGCGGUCAAAACACAUUAUUUUCCGAAGACCCCACAUUCCUGAUCCAAUGCAAAACUGUCCUGUGCUGGCUGAAGUAGCUAGGGCUGGAGAAACCCACCAUAUAUCACAGGGCACAAACUGAGCUCUCUAACCUUGAACUUUAGACAGUUCAACCCAUGAACCCUGAUGCACCACUAUCUGAUACUAAAUGCCAUCUGCAGGGGUGUCAGGAGAUGGGGGCUCUUGGAGAACAUAAGGUAUUUCAGUUCAUCAGGUCCCUUGUG
rnacentral:lncRNA from 1 species